ACCAGCUAGAAGUAGGAUACCGGAAGACGAGGGGAAGGCGCCCCGAGGGUUGCUGGGAGGAACCACUUCUUCCGCCCCAGCCCCAGUUUCUCCCCGCCCCAGCCCCAGUUUGGUACUAAUAUUGCUACUGUUUUGAGAGUAAUGGCCCUCUCGAUACUCCUGUCACACAGUAAAUCGAGACCUUCUGUUCAGAAGGGGGAGGGUGGCUUGGGGGCGAGGGGGCGUGGUGCUGGAGGAUCCGCACCAAAUAUGCGUGGGCGUGUUGGGAUAGGGGCGGGAGGGACUGAGUAAAGGACUCCUUUGCCCUCUCGGGGAGUUGGGCGUGGAGAGAGUGAAAUGGUGCACUUCAUAAAGCGAGUCUAGAUACUCAGAAGUUCAAUUAAUGGAACCACUAUUCAUUUAUUAAUUGAUUGAUUAAUAAUGCGUACCUAAUUGGCCAGGGGUAUAAUGCGCACCUAACUUCCUAGUGAAAGUUGCACCGGACUGAAGUUACAAUGCAGUUUUUACAGGGCGCAAGAUACAAAGCAAACAAUGUUCAUUAUGAGACAUAACCUUGAUGGAGCAAGCAGCCUUAUUGUCUAGAAGCUAUAUUGGUUAGUGGCGUGGGGAUAUAGGGCAUUCAUUCUAUUGUAUAUCUUAAACUAGCUGCCAGCACUAAGGGAGGUAUUUUCUCAUGAAUUCUAACUAUUCUGAGCUGACUGACCUUCACAAGAAAGCUCAGUUCUGAUUUCUACUUUUCCAGGGAAAACCAGAUUUUUCUGGUCAAUGACUUAGUUUACCUCAGGAGGCAAUGUUGAAAGAACGGGUCCUUGAAUGCCAGGCUGGGUCAGGUGUCUGGACUAAUAUUGUGAAGGAACACAGGUCUGGGAAUCAGAAUACCUCCAACCGAUUUCUUGUUCUGCCAUUCAUUUUCUGCGGAACCAUCAGAAAACAACUUCAUCCCUCUGGGUUUUAAUUUCCUCAUCUACAAAAUUAUGGGAUUGAAUCAGACCAUGGCCAAAGGCCUUGAUAGAUAUGUUGUUCUAAGACAUUACAUUAUAUACUUAAAGGAACACACACACACAAAGUCCGAGACUAAAGAGUUUCGAGUAGGAAUGGGAAAUGAGGAUUAGCUAGGGAGUAACAUGGAGAGUUUGUUGCAGUCUUUAAAAUCUGAGAGAUUGGACUUGAUACUGCAGGCAAAAAGACCCUUUGGCAUUUUACCCCACAAAAGCAGGAAAAUUAGAAAAUUGCUUUAUUCUGGCAUGAUGAAAGGACUCCCCUGAAGACUAAAGACAAGGAGUCCAGAUGGCAGGGUUUUGCAGUGAUCAAGUGUGUUCUGGUAGUGCAUAUGUAAAAGGGUAGAACUCACAAGUUGAGGGCUGGCCUUUGAAAGAUUAGAAAAGAUUAUGAAAGGUAAAAACAAAGAGGUAAUUGAUGUCAGGUAUUGUGUAUAGCUUAUGUGGUGUGUAGAAAUGAGAGUUGGCAUGUCUAAUGGGGAUCUAAGGAGGAAGUUGUACUGUUUGGCUGAAACAUGAAUUGCAUGCAUGAAAAUAAUAUAAAGGAAGGGUAACAAAAAGAAAUAGAGACCCGAUUGUGAGAAGAAAUAAUUUCUAGGGCAAGCUCCUAAAAGAGGCUAGAGGAAGAAGAAUUAAGGUCACAGAGUAGUGAUAACCUAAGUAAUCUCCUAGGUUGGACAAUAAUAUCUAGCAUUUAUAUGGCAUUGUAAAGUUUGCAAAGUGCUUUACAAUUAUUGUCUCAUUUUAUCCUCCAGCAAUCCUGGGAGGAAGGUAUUAUUAUCAUCCCCAUUUUAUAGAUGAGGAAAAUGAGGCAUACAGAUUACAUGACUUACCCAAGGUCACAUGAGUCAAGUUUCCUCCCUACCUUCUUUCUUGUUUUACAUGAUAUUGCCUCUGAGGUUUAGAGGUUAGUUUUCACAGAUUUCUUUACAAUCAUGUCCCAUAUAUUUACACUUCCCAUUCUCUUCUCCAGUACAGGAAGUGCUUUUGACAGUGAUAGCCAUCCUAGUGUAAAGAUUAAAAUUUAGGGGAAACUGAGGCAGGUAGAAAUUAGUUUCUCUCUGUAAGGAGUAUUAUAUUUUUUAGAGGUUUACUAAAGGUUAAAGAUUAAAGAAAAUACAGAAUAAGAAAAAACAUGUGCCUAGGCCAGAGGCCUAGACAAGAUAACCUCACAUCAUGGAAGAGACACAUCUGCUCCAAAACGGAAGUCCAAAAGAGCCCAAAAGCCUUUGCAAUCAGCUUAAAUCCCUUCUCGAUCUCGCCCACCUCAGAAUUCCAUGACAUUACAAAGCAUUUUGGAUUCCUGCCUUUCCCAAAGAGAAGAUCUAGGAAGACCAGGUGAUGGUGGCCAUGACUCUGACAUCUAGGGUCUUGAUAAUGGAAACAUCUGGAUACCCACCAAGCACAUCACGCCAUGUGGCACAGGACCAGGAAGAGAAGCGAAGCAGAAGAACAACACAGAUGACAUGGAUCACCAGCAGACCAGCCACACUCAAGGCACACCUGACGAGAUGCUCACAGGUGACAACACACAUGUCAAAGACUGACAUCACACCUAUCUUAGUUAUAUUCACUAUUAUUGCACUGAUGGACACUUGUCAUGCUGAAAUCUAUUGGUCUAUUAUAUCUAAACCUCAAGUAUUAAGAAUGUCAACUUGGAUUAACAAGCCCCCACUUGUGUAUGUUAAUGACACCAAAUGGCCAUCAUACCCAGUUUUAGCCAAAGACAUUACCAUGGAGUCAGAAGGGACUAGCUAUAAUUAUUCAGGCACUACUUUAUACCCUUCAUUUUGUAUAUCUACAGUAUGUACUGACAAAAAGAAUUAAUUUUAUAUACAUUGUAAAAUUCAAGCUUGGAUUGUAAGAAAUGCUACUGUAAAAAUGGAGAUUUGACUUCAAUCCCCAGAAGUCCUUGCUCUAAUUCCCAAGAUGCCCUCUAAUCUCACCUGAAUUCUCACCUGCGCCAGAACCGAAAUUGUUUUUAAACUGACUCCGCCUUCUGCUAGCUCUCUUCCUGCUUGCGCUUCCAGGGACACAUGCUUCUUUCGAGAUGUAGUGUAAGCGAAUGGGCCUUUCUGCCCUCGUAGGCACGUGCUUUCUUAUUUUGUAUUUUCUUUAUUUUUUAAUCUUUAAUAAACCUCUAAAAAUAAUAUUUUAGCAGAGAAACUAAUUUUAAUCUUAACACUACUGAUAACAAUUAUAUAGGCAUUGGUAUGGCUUUCAUAGGAAAAGGGCAUGGAAUAUAUCAACUACAACAUAGACCUAGAAUCCCUGACAACAGAAAAUUGUGUUUAAAUUAGGUAGAGACACUGCAUAGGGAUUUGUAAUGGACAGAUUGUCCUGGUCAAACUCCUAGAAAAGUUGAGAUGGCAGGUAGAAUAGACUUUGAGAUUUUUUAUUGGGGACCUAAAUUACAUUGUAGAUUUUAUGAUCUAUUGAUACGUUCAGAUGGAACUAGAGAACAUGAAAGAUGGCACAUUCCAUGAACAACAUAGUAUAAGAUUGAAGAAUUUGCACAAGCUGAUGUAUCAGGUCCCAGACUUGGUAUUGAAGCAGGUUCCAUUCAAAAUACUCAGUGGGAAAUCAUGGCUGACAACCAGUCAAUUUGUAAAUUUUAGGUCAAUAUUACAAAUCUAGGGAUUGAUUUGAAAAAUGUUACUCACGUUAACAUCACAGCUUGUGUAUUUGCUCCUUAAGUAAUGUUAGUAGGUAGUACACUUAACAUCUCGAAAAACAAUAAGGGGCUAUAUGAGAUUCUAUGCUUAAACUGUCAUCUACAUCAAUGUAUAGAUUCUAUUCAUGACAAUACCUAUAUGAGCAAGAAGCUGUAAAAAUUUCUUCUAAAUGGGAAGAAACUUUAGCUUCUAUUAACCCUAACAAUUGGCUUGGCAGAAUUAAGUUUACAAACAUUGGUAAUGUCAUAGUCUUGGUUGUUAUAUUGAUUGGCUUGCUUAUACUAUGCAAAAGAUGUUUAAGUAAGACUUAUAUCAGAAAUAUGCAGCCAGAUGUUGCAAUGACACUUCAUUUUCAUCAUUCUCAUUGUUUAAAAAUGAUGAUAUAGAGCAACAAACACACAGAAUGUAAUGUUUAUGGGAAUAUUGGUACUUUUAAAAAUUUGUAUUAAUUGUAUUAAUGUUUUUGAAAAGCUUUUAUAUGCUGAAAUAUUUUGUAUGCUCACAAUGUGAAUCUUAGUCAACUUAAAUUAGGGAAAUAGAAAACAUUUUUGAAUGAAAAUUCUUGGAUUACACACUGGCUUAGGUAAAACUUUGCCACAUGAAAUAUGAACCAUGAGUUUAAAAUUUUGUAUUAAUUUUACUUUUAUUUUCCCUGAUUAUUUUUCAGAUUAUUUUUCCCAUAUAUUUUCAUCUAAGUACUUGAAGUACAUUGAAAGCAGUAUUAUUUUUCAUCAUGAAGGAUAAGUUUACAAUGCCUAUAAGUUUUAAUAUAUAUGUACAUACCCAAAAGCUUGAGACUGUAGGAAACUGCAAGCAUUUGUUAAACCUCAUGGGACUAAUAUGAGUUAUUGUGUCUGAUUGCAGAAGAAGGGAUUGCAAUGGAGGCAUUAAACUUUGCCAGAAAGCCUGAUAUCUAGAGAGACAUAAAAUCCAUAAAACAUGGAUAAAUGUCUUGUUGGAGGUAAAAGGAUGCAGUGUUUUGAUACCCUCAAACAUAUAUUGACCUUAUACCACAGUUCCAACCAAAUAUCUAUGUGGCUGGCAUCAUGGCUUCAAUAUCUCAAGAACUCUAUGCAUGAUCAGACCAAGGGAAAGGAAAGACUUCCCUCUCUUAUCAAACUAUAGUCCCUUUCUUUAGAUUUAAAGGUCUGGUAACUUCUUACAGUCCUGGCUGAGCAUGGGUAAAAUGCUAUAUUAAUGCACGUGUCCUACAGGACUGUGGGACUGAUAUCACAUUAAUUCGGGAUCACUAGUGAGUUAAGGUCAUUUUAUUAUUAUUUUUUAUUAUUGGUCUUACAUAAAAAUUUUAAUUUAAUUUUGCUAUUUGAUUUAAAAUUCAUGUUUAUGUUGUUAUUUUGAUUUUUCUUAUACUCAUUAUUCUUAUUUUUUAUUGUUGCUUUUGUUUAGUUUAUAAUUUUUUUUUACCAUUAUACACUCUCAUCUUAAUUUUUAAACAAAAAGGGAUCUAUGUAGCAUACCAGGUAUAUUGGCAUCUUGAAGGUAUGAUUGGUAUUGAUAUUGUAUCUUAUAUGUUCAUAUACCAGACUCAUGGUCACGUUGCCUAUUGAUUAUUGUAUUUCCAAAUCUUCAGUCCAAAGGACAAAAGAAUUCCUGAGCAGGACAUUAUUUGCCACAGGGUUCUAGCUCCCACCUAGUUAGACCAUACUUCUUACCAAGUCACAUGUUUCAUUAAUCUCCUCCUCUUUGAUUACGUGAUUGUCAAUUGAGCCAAUGUUAAAACCUAUGGCAUGUCACAUAUGCAUUAGCUACCUCCCACUCCACAUUCCUAAAUUCUCCAAUAAAAGUUUGAGGACAUGUGUAGUGCCCUCUCUCAAUACCAUCAGAGGGGCAUGCACUAUGGAGCCUAUAUUUUUUAA